rnacentral:rRNA from 1 species
AUUGAACGCUGGCGGAAUGCUUUACACAUGCAAGUCGAACGGCAGCACGGGUGCUUGCACCUGGUGGCGAGUGGCGAACGGGUGAGUAAUAUAUCGGAACGUAUCCAAUAAUGGGGGAUAACUAAUCGAAAGGUUGGCUAAUACCGCAUACGCCCUACGGGGGAAAGCAGGGGAUCUUCGGACCUUGCGUUAAUGGAGCGGCCGAUAUCUGAUUAGCUAGUAGGUGAGGUAAAGGCUCACCUAGGCGACGAUCAGUAGCUGGUCUGAGAGGACGACCAGCCACACUGGAACUGAGACACGGUCCAGACUCCUACGGGAGGCAGCAGUGGGGAAUUUUGGACAAUGGGCGCAAGCCUGAUCCAGCCAUUCCGCGUGAGUGAAGAAGGCCCUCGGGUUGUAAAGCUCUUUCGCAAGGGAAGAAACGAUACAGUCUAAUAAACUGUGUUAAUGACGGUACCUUGAUAAGAAGCACCGGCUAACUACGUGCCAGCCGCCGCGGUAA